GACGAACGCUGGCGGCGUGCCUAAUACAUGCAAGUCGAACGAGAGCGACCGGUGCUUGCACUGGUCAAUCUAGUGGCGAACGGGUGAGUAACACGUGGGUAACCUGCCCAUCAGAGGGGGACAACAUCCGGAAACGGAUGCUAAAACCGCAUAGGUCUUCGAACCGCAUGGUUUGAAGAGGAAAAGAGGCGCAAGCUUCUGCUGAUGGAUGGACCCGCGGUGCAUUAGCUAGUUGGUGAGGUAACGGCUCACCAAGGCCGUGAUGCAUAGCCGACCUGAGAGAGUGAUCGGCCACAUUGGGACUGAGACACGGCCCAAACUCCUACGGGAGGCAGCAGUAGGGAAUCUUCCGCAAUGGACGCAAGUCUGACGGAGCAACGCCGCGUGAGUGAAGAAGGUUUUCGGAUCGUAAAACUCUGUUGUUAGAGAAGAACAAGUGCUAGAGUAACUGUUAGCGCCUUGACGGUAUCUAACCAGAAAGCCACGGCUAACUACGUG
rnacentral:rRNA from 1 species